UAGGGCGCAAGCGUUGUCCGGAAUUAUUGGGCGUAAAGAGCUCGUAGGCGGCUUGUCACGUCGGUUGUGAAAGCCCGGGGCUUAACCCCGGGUCUGCAGUCGAUACGGGCAGGCUAGAGUUCGGUAGGGGAGAUCGGAAUUCCUGGUGUAGCGGUGAAAUGCGCAGAUAUCAGGAGGAACACCGGUGGCGAAGGCGGAUCUCUGGGCCGAUACUGACGCUGAGGAGCGAAAGCGUGGGGAGCGAACAGGAUUAGAUACCCUGGUAGUCCACGCCGUAAACGGUGGGCACUAGGUGUGGGCAACAUUCCACGUUGUCCGUGCCGCAGCUAACGCAUUAAGUGCCCCGCCUGGGGAGUACGGCCGCAAGGCUAAAACUCAAAGGAAUUGACGGGGGCCCGCACAAGCGGCGGAGCAUGUGGCUUAAUUCGACGCAACGCGAAGAACCUUACCAAGGCUUGACAUACACCGGAAACG
rnacentral:rRNA from 1 species